UACGAAGGGGGCUAGCGUUGCUCGGAAUUACUGGGCGUAAAGGGCGCGUAGGCGGACAGUUAAGUCGGGGGUGAAAGCCCGGGGCUCAACCUCGGAAUUGCCUUCGAUACUGGCUGUCUUGAGUGCGGGAGAGGUGUGUGGAACUCCGAGUGUAGAGGUGAAAUUCGUAGAUAUUCGGAAGAACACCAGUGGCGAAGGCGGCACACUGGCACGUUACUGACGCUGAGGCGCGAAAGCGUGGGGAGCAAACAGG
rnacentral:rRNA from 1 species